rnacentral:lncRNA from 1 species
AUGACGUAAUCAUCUAAAGGCAGGAACACAUCUCUGUGAACUAUUUCUUUCGCUGCAGCAUUAACGGUUGGGCCCACGGGGGAGGCGGUGCAGAAGAUAAAGGCAUGAAGACUGCGGCUGGAGCCAAACCCAAAGAAGCCAGUCCUCGAGGUGGAGGCGAAGGCCAGGCCCCGAGUAGCUCAAGAGGCCGCUGGGUUGGCUCCACCCGUCCAGUGGGCCCGCAGGCCUCCCACACUGCUGCCAGGCAACCCGCACUCACGCUCCACUGCUUCCCUUGGGUCCGCACCAGCCAAGCCACUGUGCCUGUGAGUCCACAGCUGGAUUGCCCUUUGGCCCACAUGACCACCUUUGUGAAUCACCUGCGAUACAGGGAACCUCGGGGGUCCGUGGGUAAAGCGCAGGCGAGACGCGGUGUUUCAGAACCGGGCACAGAGGCGUUCUCGGGCUGCUGAACAUGGAGAGGGGAAGCAAGGUGGGGCAGGAUGCAGGGCGGCCGGGUCUGGGCGCGGUGAGACAGGACUCUCCACUCCAGGCCGCUCUGCACGUCUGCCACCGUCUGUUCCAGAUUAUCACCCGUCU